AUGUCUGAUCGUAGCGGCCAGCGGCAAUGCCGCCGAGGCGUCUCGGGCGACGUGGAGCUCGACGCGGCCAUGGCACUGGCCAACAUGGCCGGCGUUUCGGGGCCAGCAGCUCUUCCCGCCGUGCACCCGGCGGCGCCGCAGCAUGGAGGCAGCCGUGAGGAGGAAGAGGAGCUGGCGAGCACGAGGCUGAGCCUGGAGCUGGGCAAGGUCGGCAUCCAGGCGUCGUCGUGCUCCAGCGGCUCCAGCGCCGGGUGUCCUUCGCGGCAGACGCGGGUGCCCGUGGCGGCUCCAGGUGGAGGCGGCUACGGCCCAAGGCCCCGGCACACGCUCACCGAGGCUGAGAAGGAGGCAAAGCGGCUGCGGCGCGUGCUCGCGAACCGGGAGUCUGCGCGCCAAACCAUACUCCGCCGUCAGGCGGUCCGAGACGAACUGGCGAGGAAAGUUGCGGACUUGUCGUCACAAAACGAGAGCAUGAAGAAGGAGAAGGAGACGGUGAUGCAAGAGUAUCUCACACUCCAGGAGACGAACAAACAGCUGAAAGAACAGGCACGACAUCAUCUGCCGCUUCCAUUAUUUUAA
rnacentral:rRNA from 1 species